GAAAUAAAAAUCCCUCCAAAGAUUUAUCUAAGUUAAGAAGAAGGUUAAUGAAUACAACACAAAAUGAUAUGAGAAAACGAGAAACUAAAUCGAACAAUAUAAGAAUAAACAAUAUAAAGAGAAAAUUAGUCUUUUCGCCUAACUUUUAGCCCCAAUUUUGCUGCUGUAAUAAACUGUUGCACUUAUUGGACUUUUGGGGAGUCCAAAAAAUUAUUAAAUUUCAGCCUUUUCAAGGCUAGUACUGCUGCCUCGUUAAGUAUGGGGUUCAACCCAUUUUUGCUCCUCAUUUGAGCUCGUUGGAGCUGUUGUUGCUGUACUUUUGGGUGUCUAACCCAAUAAUAUUAGUUUCCAUUCAAUCGUCAUAAAGGAGGUUGACUCAAAGAGAAAGGAAUGCAAGGAGGGGAGUCUUGAUAAACUCAACGAAAGAGUGUUCAUGCACAAAAGAAAGAGGAGAUAAAUAUUUGAAUCAGUCAGAAAUAAUAUUAAUCUAAGCUAGUAAUUUAAUAUGCCUACAAGGACCGUAAAAUGUGCAAAAUUUAAAGCAUCCAUUCAUAUUAAAAUUUACAGUACAUCAAAACUAUAUUAGUCAUAAUAAGGAAAUAGCAAAUCUAAUAAAUAAAUAAGAAAAAACAACAGUGCUUCCUUUCAUUCAAAUCAAUAUAUAUGCACGAUAUGACAUUCUAAUUUUUGACAACAAAUCCAUAAGUUCUAAAAGGAUUCCAAAGGAAACAUGGUGAGUUAACUUGUUGCCGGAACAGACCGAAAUAACAGAUCAUAUGACCAUUAGUAAUAUGAUAAUAUGGAGAAUCGGGCAGAUUUCAAAGCAAAGAAGGCUAAACCACUAUAUCCAAACUCAAACUAGUCUUUAAAAGAUAGCUAGAGCAAAAGACUACUUCAUGAAGCUUUAUAGGGAGAAAGCCAGUGAACAUUCAAAACUAGACAACACAUCUCAAAUAAACAGUUUAAGAUACAAAAUGGAAAGGAACUGUUAAAUGAGCUCACAUUAAAAAUCAAAAUUAGACCAAAAUCUAUUUGAGAAGAAAAGAAACCUUGAGAUAAUUUGCAUUUACACAUCACAAUUAAAAGAAAACUAAUCGACUAGACCUAAAAGAGAAUUAUAUCUAACGUAAGAAGAAACAAGAGGCUUCUUAUCCAUUUCCGAUACGAUUAAGAAAACUAAACUAUGAAGAGCAAAUCAUAGGUAUUUAAGAAGCUAUUAAGACAAGAAAUAAAAUAUUAAAACCAUAGUUUUGAAUCCGAUUACCCAACUUACAUAUUUAAAGUUUUCAAACCAAUGAGUUGUUAUUUAUAACAUAUAACAAAACUAAGCAUCUUCAAUGGGAAUCAACGCAGAACAGAAACUAUACAAAGCAAGUAUAGAUGGUAUAGAACACGUAAGUUAGCAAAAUAAAGAGGUUUAUGAGACUAACCCUUAUAAACAACAAAAAAUCAUACUAUCGAAUAUUAAAACAGCAUGCAUAUCCUGAAGCAUUUUAAUUCAAAAUCUAGCAUGAAGGGAAGCAACCAGGAUUUUAGAGCAAUCAAAUACUAAAGCCUGAAAAAAAACAUUCUUAUUUAACAUUGCUAAGGUAUGCACAACUAUGGAUCAAGAAGCUAAGGUAGGAACUAAAGACCUUUUUCAUAUUUGUAGCAAUCAAAACGUUUUGAAGACAACAAGAACGCAACCCAACAACUAAUUUUCACCUUAAUACAACAAAAGAGCAGUUGCACAACCUAGUAUUUAUAAAACAGACGAGAAAUCAGGCUUUGACAAAAGGCAAGGUGAUAAUCUUAAUAUAGAACAUAACAACUUAAGACAGAAAACAACAACUAUAUAGCACAAAUUUCUAACAGAAUAGAGAUAAUAGUAAGUGGAAGAACAUGUACGGACUAAUGGAUUUUACGAAAUAAAAGAAUCACAUUUACAUGGAAAAUAACCAUCAGUAGAGCAAAACAUUUGAAAUCCUUCAGAAUUUAACUUAACUUUAAGAAGACUUUCACUGUCAUUCACACCACUAAUCAUAUUGAAUCUAAACAGAUAAAUAACAAUACCAAACAAAUAACAACUCUACAAUGCAACAGAGAGAAGAAACUGAGAAAGGGCAAGAAGAUUACCUGGUUCUGGGCAGCAGAACCAAAACGACGAGUGAAGACGACUGCACCUCUUCAACUCAAAAGCCACAAAACUCUUUAAAAUUUUGAACUACGGUACCAAGAAAUCCCAAAAUUUUAUGGGUACUCUUUGUUCUCUGAAAAAUCCUCCCCUAAAAAGUGAAUGAAGAAGGUUUAUAUAGGGCAACUUCUGGGUUGGAAUUGAGGGGGAAAAUGAUGUGGGAAUGCCUCACGAUUUAGAACUCUUAAUGGAUAAGGUAGAGGGAGCUGGAAUUCGUACGAAUUCUCAAUAGAUUGAGAACCAAGUCCAUCCGAUUAUGAGUAAGGAGGAGCGAGCGACAGGAUUGAGACACCUGCUCUGUUCGAGUAUGCCUGUACGAGAGGAUAAGGAGAACACACGAUGUUUGAUGGUUUCGCCUCUGAUGCGAGUUGGAGUUUCGCCAUUUUCUGGUUUUGUGGCGUUGCUUGCGAGUCAUUUUUCUAAAAGAAGGAGAAGAACAUGGGCUGGAUUGUAUUGG
rnacentral:lncRNA from 1 species